rnacentral:rRNA from 1 species
AGAGGAAGGCUCGUCCGCUCUGGGUUAGUCGGGUCCUAAGCUGAGGCCGACAGGCGUAGGCGAUGGAUAACAGGUUGAUAUUCCUGUACCACCAUUAUUCGUUUUAAGCGAUGGGGGGACGCAGUAGGAUAGGCGAAGCGUGCUGUUGGAGUGCACGUCCAAGCAGUGAGAUUGAGUGUUAGGCAAAUCCGGCACUCUUAAGAUUGAGCUGUGAUGGGGAGAGGAACUUGUUCCUCGAGUCGUUGAUUUCACACUGCCGAGAAAAGCCUCUAGCUAGAAUAACGGUGCCCGUACCGCAAACCGACACAGGUAGUCAAGAUGAGAAUUCUAAGGUGAGCGAGCGAACUCUCGUUAAGGAACUCGGCAAAAUGACCCCGUAACUUCGGGAGAAGGGGUGCUCUUUGAGGUUCACGCUUCGAAGAGCCGCAGUGAAUAGGCCCA